GCCAGACUCCUACGGGAGGCAGCAGUGGGGGAUAUUGCACAAUGGGGGGAACCCUGAUGCAGCGACGCCGCGUGGGUGAAGAAGCGCCUCGGCGCGUAAAGCCCUAUCGGCAGGGAAGAAGCAAGACGGUACCUGACUAAGAAGCCCCGGCUAACUACGUGCCAGCAGCCGCGGUAAUACGUAGGGGGCGAGCGUUAUCCGGAUUCACUGGGUGUAAAGGGAGCGUAGACGGCCAUGCAAGCCAGGGGUGAAAGCCCGGGGCCCAACCCCGGGACUGCCCUUGGAACUGCAUGGCUGGAGUGCGGGAGGGGCAGGCGGAAUUCCUAGUGUAGCGGUGAAAUGCGUAGAUAUUAGGAGGAACACCAGUGGCGAAGGCGGCCUGCUGGACUGCAACUGACGUUGAGGCUCGAAGGCGUGGGGAGCAAACAGGAUUAGAUACCCCAGUA
rnacentral:rRNA from 1 species